rnacentral:rRNA from 1 species
GGUGACCUCGGAUCAUGUACG